GCUGCAGUGGUGCAACGGUCAGCAUAUUUGCCCAGUAAGCAAGAAGACCCGGGUUCCAGUCCCGGCCGCAGCA